UGGGGAAUUUUGGACAAUGGGCGAAAGCCUGAUCCAGCAAUGCCGCGUGUGUGAAGAAGGCCUUCGGGUUGUAAAGCACUUUUGUCCGGAAAGAGAUCCUUGGCUCUAAUACAGUCGGGGGAUGACGGUACCGGAAGAAUAAGCACCGGCUAACUACGUGCCAGCAGCCGCGGUAAUACGUAGGGUGCAAGCGUUAAUCGGAAUUACUGGGCGUAAAGCGUGCGCAGGCGGUUUGCUAAGACCGAUGUGAAAUCCCCGGGCUCAACCUGGGAACUGCAUUGGUGACUGGCAGGCUAGAGUAUGGCAGAGGGGGGUAGAAUUCCACGUGUAGCAGUGAAAUGCGUAGAGUGUGGAGGAAUACCGAUGCGAAGGCAGCCCCCUGGGCCAAUACUGACGCUCAUGCACGAAAGCGUGGGGAGCAAACAGGAUUAGAUACCCUGGUAGUCCACGCCCUAAACGAUGUCAACUAGUUGUUGGGGGAUUCAUUUCCCUUAGUAACGUAGCUAACGCGUGAAGUUGGACCGCCUGGGGAGUACGGUCGCAAGNUU
rnacentral:rRNA from 1 species